GACGAACGCUGGCGGCGUGCCUAAUACAUGCAAGUUGAGCGCUGAAGGUUGGUACUUGUCCCAACUGGAUGAGCAGCGAACGGGUGAGUAACGCGUGGGGAAUCUGCCUUUGAGCGGGGGACAACAUUUGGAAACGAAUGCUAAUACCGCAUAAAAACUUUAAACACAAGUUUUAAGUUUGAAAGAUGCAAUUGCAUCACUCAAAGAUGAUCCCGCGUUGUAUUAGCUAGUUGGUGAGGUAAAGGCUCACCAAGGCGAUGAUACAUAGCCGACCUGAGAGGGUGAUCGGCCGCAUUGGGACUGAGACACGGCCCAAACUCCUACGGGAGGCAGCAGUAGGGAAUCUUCGGCAAUGGACGAAAGUCUGACCGAGCAACGCCGCAUGAGUGAAGAAGGUUUUCGGAUCGUAAAACUCUGUUGGUAGAGAAGAACGUUGGUGAGAGUGGAAAGCUCAUCAAGUGACGGUAACUACCCAGAAAGGGACGGCUAACUACGUG
rnacentral:rRNA from 1 species